UGGAGGUAGAAGGGGGGGAUCGCAAGACCUCUCGCUAUUGGAGCGGCCGAUAUCAGAUUAGCUAGUUGGUGGGGUAAAGGCCUACCAAGGCUACGAUCUGUAGUUGGUCUGAGAGGACGACCAGCCACACUGGGACUGAGACACGGCCCAGACUCCUACGGGAGGCAGCAGUGGGGAAUUUUGGACAAUGGGCGCAAGCCUGAUCCAGCAAUGCCGCGUGCAGGAAGAAGGCCUUCGGGUUGUAAACUGCUUUUGUCAGGGAAGAAAUCUUCUGGGUUAAUACCUCGGGAGGAUGACGGUACCUGAAGAAUAAGCACCGGCUAACUACGUG
rnacentral:rRNA from 1 species